GCCUUUAUGUAAACUGUAACGAUCAUUUGGGUCUGUACUCAAGAGGCAGGAGAAUCACUUGAGCCCGGGAGUUCUGGGCUGUUGUAGUGCACUAUGCCAAUCAGGUGUCUGCACUAAGUUCAGCGUCAGUGUGGUGACUUCCCUGGGGACUCCCAGGGGACUGCCAGAUUGCCUAAGGAGAGAUGAACUGGCCAGGUCAGAAAUGGAGCAGGUCGAAACUCCCAUCCUGAUCAGUAGUGGGAUUGUGCCUAUGAAUAGACACUGUAUUCCAGCCUGGGCAAUAUAGCAAGAUCCUGUCU
rnacentral:lncRNA from 1 species